AUGUACCCCGCGUCCACUGCGGGUCUGAGCGCGCCGUCCGCGCCCACCUGACAGCUGCUCGCUACGUCUUGUUAGCC
rnacentral:sRNA from 2 species